rnacentral:misc_RNA from 1 species
CAAAAAAAAAAAAAAAAAAUCAACAGAACUCAAACAGGAUGACCAAAUUUUGCAAGACAGGUAGUUACAAAGAUAUCAUGCUAUUUCCAUAGCUCUUCCAUGUGAUUCUGUCAACUUCCAAACGUCCAGCGUUCCAAUUCCAUCACCAGUGAAAAAGAGACCUCCAGGACCCGUCUGAAUUGUUCUCACUUCGCUUUUCGAAAAAAUCCUGCCCCUCUCAAUGAAUGUUGGCAGUUCGUACAGGUAAACAGUAUUGUCACUGCAAGAGCAAAGCAAAAUUGGUUUUGCUUCUGCAUCAGGCAUCCCACAAAGAGCAAUAGCGCCAUGUUCCUCAUUAUGUGUGUAAAUCACGUCCAAGUUACCCUCUUCAGUAAAAGCCCAUGCUUUUAUUGUCUUGUCUAAUGAACAAGACAGUAGAUAUUGAUCCCAACAAAUAAGAGACGUUACAGCAUCAUUAUGACCACUCAAUGUAUGAACACACUGUAAAGUGUCGAGGUCCCACGCCCUUAUAGUAUUGUCCACAGAACCAGAGUAUAGCCUAUUUCUUCCAAUGGUCAAGCAUAUAACAGCACUGGUGUGACCUUUCAUAGAUGAGGCCAGUUCAAAAGGAUUUGGGUUCUUAGCACUCCCUUUCCAAGCCAAAAUGGCACCAUCCUUUGCCCCCACAAAAAGCAUAUCAACAACAUCAGCUACAGCUAUAGCAUUAACUUGCCCAACUGGCCCAUCGAGAUUAAAUUCAGCAGCUGUCUCAACGUUCCAUGCCUAAAAGAUCACACACAAAAUGGCCAUAAGCUUAUAAUAAUCAGAAACUAACCAAGCUACAUGAAGCACUACAAGUCAGAUGUAAGCUAACCUUAACAAUAUUUGGCAAGCCUACAAAUAUCCAGGGGCCUUCACUGAUUAAAGCCCCAAUUUUGACACCAACAUUUAUCACUCUUGUUGAUUGACCAGUAUUGCAAUCCCAAACAUGUACUGUUCCAUCACUACUACUCGAGAAAAGCUUGUCAGAUCUUGAUGGAAGAGCAAUCCCAGAGACAGCCUGUAUGUGCCCCUUGAGCUUUGCCAAUGUCGAAAACCAAUCCCCAUAAAACCAAGAAUGCAAGAACUGGCACCCAUCU